GAGUUUGAUCGUGGCUCAGCCUGAACGCUGGCGGCGUGGCUAAGACAUGCAAGUCGCACGGUGUAGCAAUACACAGUGGCGAACGGGUGAGUAAUGAAUUCGCUAAUGUGCCCCGGACUCUGGGAUAGCUGACCGAAAGGUCAGGUAUACCAGAUGACAUAACCUGACGGCAUCGUCGGGUUCUCAAAGGUCCGCCGGUCUGGGAGCAGGCGAUUUCGUAUCAGCUAGUUGGUGAGGUAACGGCUCACCAAGGCGACGACGCGUAGCCGGACUGAGAGGUUGGCCGGCCACAUUGGGACUGAGACACUGCCCAGACUCCUACGGGGGGCUGCAGUAACGAAUCUUCCGCAAUGCACGAAAGUGUGACGGAGCGACGCCGCGUGU
rnacentral:rRNA from 1 species